GACGAACGCUGGCGGCGUGCUUAACACAUGCAAGUCGAACGGGCCCGCUCUCUUUUUUGGGGGUGGGUUGAGUGGCGAACGGGUGAGUAUCACGUGAGUAACCUGCCCCCUGCUCCUGGAUAACUGCUUGAAAGGGCGGCUAAUACGGGGUGUGCCGGCUGGUCCGCAUGGGCCUGGUCGGGAUAGUUUCAUCUUCGGGUGUUUCGGUGGGGGAUGGGCUCGCGGCCUAUCAGCUUGUUGGUGGGGUGAUGGCCCACCAAGGCGGUGACGGGUAGCCGGCCUGAGAGGGUGGGCGGCCACACUGGGACUGAGACACGGGCCAGACUCCUGCGGGAGGCAGCAGUGGGGGGUAUUGCACAAUGGGCGGAAGCCUGAUGCAGCGACGGCGCGUGAGGGAUGGAGGCCUUCGGGUUGUGAACCUCUUUCUCCGGUGGUGAAGGCCCUGUCCGUUGCGGCGGGGUUGACGGUAGCCGGGUAUGAAGCGCCGGCUAACUACGUG
rnacentral:rRNA from 1 species